AGAAGUCGUAACAAGGUUUCCGUAGGUGAACCUGCGGAAGGAUCAUUGUCGAAACCURCCAAGCAGAACGACCCGCGAACUGGUAUAAUAACCGCAGGGGGUGCUUGCAGCGGGCUAGAUUGCCCUUGCUCUCUACCCCCUUUCUGGGUACGCUAUUGAACUGCGUUGCUCAGCUAAAAACAAACCCCGGCGCAAAUCGCGUCAAGGAACUCAAAAAYAAGAAGUGAAGCGCACCACCCCCUUGGGUAGCGGUCGCRUCUUUCAUGAACAUAAUGACUCUCGGCAACGGAUAUCUCGGCUCUCGCAUCGAUGAAGAACGUAGCGAAAUGCGAUACUUGGUGUGAAUUGCAGAAUCCCGUGAACCAUCGAGUCUUUGAACGCAAGUUGCGCCCGAAGCCAUUAGGCUGAGGGCACGUCUGCCUGGGCGUCUCACGUUGCGUCGCCCCCUCUCUCUGCGCCCGYGAAGGGCUCUUGGAUUGUGGGGGCGGAUUAUGGCCCCCCGUGUGCCCUAAGUGCACGGUCGGCCUAAAGAUAAGUCCCUGGCGACGAACGUCACGAUAAGUGGUGGAUGUGAUCACGUUGCGUCAUUUCGUGCACGUCUCGUCCCAACGGGUUGUAAUUUAUUUUUGACCUCGAAAGCCUCGAUCGCGACCCCAGGUCAGGCGGGACUACCCGCUGAGUUUAAGCAUAUCAAUAAGCGGAGGAAAAGAAACUUACGAGGAUUCCCCUAGUAACGGCGAGCGAACCGGGAAU
rnacentral:rRNA from 1 species